AUUUGGACGUCUCCAAUGUUGGACACCUGCAGGAGGCUAAUGCAAAAAGCAUACCAGCUGUUGAGUUUAGUCAAACCCAGCCUCGAGAAACAGUACUUGAAAGUCAAGAAAGCAUGCAAUUUCGGUUUGAUGAAUCACAACCACAACAAUGAUAUGAUUAUUGUGGGUAUGUAUAUUUGACUAUUAUUCUUGAUUAUUAUUUUUCCUUUAUGUCAAUCUAUGUCGGUUUAGAAGCAUCUAGGUAGUUUGAAUAUGAAAGGUCUUUGGAAAUGAGACUUUUGAGGAUUGAUAUAUUCUUUCUUUCAUUUUGUCAUUUUCGGGUUCUGUUAUGGUUUUUUUUUCAGUCAUUUUGUCAUUCAACCUUUGACUAGAACACACUCCAUAUUAGCGUAUGGAGUUGGUUUUUUGUUUUUUUUCACUUGCCAACAAGCGGACACUUGCUAAGAAGGAUGGGUUUGUUC